GGACUGGAGCCGCUUGUACUAAAGUCCCCUAAGCAAGGGCACAGCUCUUGUUACCGCCUGCUAAUGGAGUGGGGCUAUUUCAGUAGCAUUGAUUGACUGCUUUCUUCCUCUGAGGGAGCAACUUUCUCAUAUCUAGGGGAAAUGGAUCAUAAGCACCCUAGCAAAUGAGAGAAGGCCGGUGGAGGACGGAUGAUGAUGUCGGUGGCACGAAAAGGCCCUCUGUGCUACUGUCUGGUGGGGUGCAGUCAUUCCACCAUGGAACAUGACAAAGCCCAGUCCUCCCUGGCCACUAAACAAAACAUCUUUCCUGCCUGAUUGUUUUCAACAUGGGAAAAGAGGGGUUAAAACUGAGGAAACUCAUAUGUACAUCAGCCAACUCUUCUGUUCUUCCUUCAAGCCCCUACUUCCUUACCCUCCCUAUUUUCCUGCCUCCCUCUGAGGCAUUUGCAGAGCUGCCUGUUGUCUCCUCCCCAAUCCAGCCUCGCACAUGGCACGUAUGCUAUAG
rnacentral:lncRNA from 1 species